AAUAUUCACGUGAUAACUAGUGCAUCACAUAUUUUUGUGUUGAAAUCGUUUAGGGGGUGAAAGCUUCCAAGCUAGCUAAAUAUACGAGGAUAAUUAGGAGAUAAAUUAAAUAUGAAGGGAAUAAAAGAUGUCAAAGUCUAAGAGGUCCCAAAGGAGUAUGCCUUCAUUUUUAAAAAUAUCAUAGUAGCUAGUAAUAUUAGUGUGCUAUUUUUAAAACGCUACAUCUUUUCUUAUUAUACAAGUUAUUUGAUAAAUAUUUAUUUAUAUUUAUAUAAAGAAGAGAUCAGAGUUAAGACCUCGUUGAAUAAACUUAAGGAAAAAGCAGCAUUUCGAAAAUCCAGAUGAGUUCUACUUCUACUUCAAGAUGGUUAAUGCAUAAAUUGGAGUAAGUUACUAAUAUUCAUAUAUGUUAAUUGAGCUAAUUUCUGCCUCAUUCGUGGUUGAUCUGACUUGUAAGACAUUGUUUCGAUAUUUCAAGUACACAAUCAGUUUGGAGAUAUCUACUUGAGUGUCAUUGACCUGACCAAUUGCAUUAGAUAUUAAGCUUUCUUUGGCCAUGGUUUGAAAUAACCUUAUUAUUCAGAAAAGUAAAUGAAUUAUUUGGAGAUAUCUAUUUAAUGACCAUUUAUCGAGUUUAGCUUUCUUCGUGAGUUGAAAUCUUAUCACUUGAUCUAGAUCGAACGAUUGAGCCAUGUCUAUGGAGGAUUAACGAUUUCGUCCUGUUUGUAGUGCCAUGUCUGAUGGAUGGAUGCGUACAAGCUUUAUUCACAAAUAAUAUAUAGUUGUUCUAUUGUACACUCACUGCCUUGUUUUUUAUGUUAAAAUUGGAGGAAUUCAUUUUUUGAAGCUGAGGGUAGUUUCUACUCCUUUACCCAUCGGUGGAUGAGAAAUCGCCACCAUAGUACGUAAUUUCUGGUUAACCAUGUUCCAAGAAAAAAAAGUUAAAAAGUAUCUUCAUAUCAAGAGUUCAGGUGAACAGCUGCCUAUUUGGUUUCUUUGUGUAUUGAAACUCUUAACACUUCUGUUGUAUGAGUGAAAUCUUUAGAUCUAUUGGAAUCACAUGAUUAAAGUGUACAAAAAGUAGUUAUGGCAGUAAUUAGCAAUCUGUCAAAGAAAGAGGUGAGACUGAUUGUUAGUUAGUUAUAACCAAUUAUUGUUUCAAAUGUGUGAUUUCUAUAAAUAGGAUGUGUAAUUAAUCCAUAAUAUUUUUUCCUCUUCUUCUAUCUUCCA